CUGCGCGGCGUGGAAGGGCCAGGCGGCAGGUUCGCUUCGGAGCGAGAAGCCGCUUUUCUGCGGUCUGUCUGGAGAGGGCUGGGUGAGGUAUGCACCGCGGGCCAGGUGGGCACACUCUGCCGCCUUGCUUUGGGAGCUGCCCGUCGCUGCAUCUCUGCUGGGGCGUAGCCCCGUUUGAACCCGGUGGUGGGGACGGACGCCCGAGUAAAGACGCUGGCACGGGGCAUCGGGCGCCGCCGUUGGGUUCCCAAAGCGAGGCUGCGCUUUGCGAUUGCUACACAGCGCGCAAGUCAAGCCUGGUUGCUGACGGGGCCGCUCCUCUUUCGGAUGGCUGUGUAAAAAACAAAAGAUGGUUGCAUGCAAUUAACAGAGAAGGUUUCGUCUUCUGCCAACUUCGACUUUCCAGAUCUUAUUAACGCUUCCCCUUAUGGUCGUUCCGUAACUAAAAACUGGAGUCCUGUCGUUCUUCAUCAGUGAGGAAGAAAGUGGUUAAAAAGCCCUUAGUUGGCCUUAAAGCAGCCAUCCCCAAUCUGACUUUCAUUUGUUUUGGACUACAACUCCCAACAUGCUGCAGGCUGUCAACCAGAGGGCGCUCGAUCGGUCCGAUUAGCUAAUUGCAUCAUACAAGCUUCUUCCCUGAAAAGAAUGUUCAUUGCCCAGGAUUCCAGACCCCCCUUCACAGAAUCAGUUUAAGCUGCCUUUUUUCACAGCUACUAAUGAGCAUGGAAGCUGAAACAUUUACUUUUAAAAUACUAUGAAAUUGUGCUGUUGUUAGUCUGUUUUUCAUACACUCACACACCCCACCUUUAAGAGUAAAUACACAAAAUAUUAAACUAUACGAAUAGUCAACAGAUGAAACCAAAUGCUAACAUUCUCUCUCAGGUCUAGUUAAAAUAAUUUCGAGGACAAGCAUGGCGUUGGGACGAGACAGAUGUGAUUAACGGGGCUCCGUUAUCACGCUGGUAACUGUCCGGUGGUGGGCUGUGGGAGCCCAAUCUCAGCCCUGUAGGGGUGAAGAUAGAUUGCUUGGCAAAGUUCCCAGCAGGUGUUUGAAUGGCAAUUCUGCGCUUACUGGGAGAAAAUCAAACUUUUCUCAGCUGGAUGGUACAGAAGAGAUCUCAGCUCUCUCAUCCCAAUGAAUGUUGCAGAUUACAGAACAGCUUCUUGCAACGAACUGACUGUCAUCCGCUUAUUAAUGGCAGAUGCAACAAGCUCACUUCACAGCGCUGGGGAAGCUGCAAAGGAGGAGGUACAAGAGGGCCCUGCCCAGCAGCCUCAUGACCCCAGUCCUUCACUGCCUUUUUCUGAAAUUUUUCGCCUGGUCCAGGCUGGACAGGAUAUUCCUGGACUGCAGAAGCUAAACAUCACUGCGACAAAUGGGAGCCCAACUCCCUCUCAAAUGACUCGGAAGCCUAAGCCUUGGGAGAACAAGACAUGAUGAAUGGAGAACCCCCUUUGCCCUGUGUCUGCGCCAAAAAGAACUGGGAUUUACCAGAAAUCUGUUGAACCUGUGGGCUUGCAGGAUCUAAUGCCUCACUGGAUUUUAAGUGCUGCUGAUUUGUGUAGCCAAAAACCUUGUGGACAAGGGGUACCCAUAGCACUGGAAAUGGAUUGUGCAGAAGUUGUAAUUAAAGUAUACUUUACUAAUAUGUACUUUAGAUACCCUGCUCAGUUAUUUAAAAUAAUAGUAUAUAUUGCUAAAAAAUGGAAUACAAUUCUGCACCAGAGCGCAUAAAAACCUGCAUCCAGAACUGUGUAAUUAUGCUGAAUAAGCCAUUUUUAGAUUAUAUUAUUUAGCUUGAGUUAUUGUGCUUUUGUUAAUUAUAGGAGAGACAAGGAUACUGAAGCCUCAGUUUCUUUUCUUAUUCAGCUGCCAUAUGACUUUUGAAAUUUCAGCAAAUCUCACCCACACAUUUCCAAGUAUAUCUUUGCAGUCAUGAGGGCCAGGAAUGCAAGAUCUGAGACUUUCCUGAUGUAGAACUUGGCACUUGGCACUUCGCUGUUUCUGUGGAUUCGAAGCAUAUCAAAUCCCCAAACCAGGUCCACCAGUUACCAUUUCAGCCUCUUUUUCACAACUUUAGGAAGUAUCGGGGUUUUUUACAGAAAGGUUUUUGGGGUGUUUGCUUAUAUUUGCCUUCUGGCAAAUAGAAAUUGGUUUUCCUUUUUAUUUUUAAUAAAUUUUAUUGUUUUCUCUACAAUCUAACUUUAAGAAACAACAGUUAUUUAAGACAUCGGGUAUACUGGGUUAACAUCUUCCUCAUUUUAACAGUCAGUAGUCAUAUCAAAUCUACGCAUAAUCCUGUUUCUCUAACUGAUAGUAAAAAGAGUUCCAGCUUUGGUAGAGAUAUGUGUCCUCCUUCUCCUUCAGUGACAAGAUCAAUCUGUCCCUUUCUGUGCAGUCCAAAAUUCUUUUUAAGAUCAGCUUUUCAGUGCAUGGCUCUUCACUCCCUCCGUAGUGAGCAAAUAAAAUUCUUGCCACAGUGACUAAUUGUAAGAUCAAAAGGUUUUCCUUUUUAGAGUCUUCAAGGAGAGGGUUUUUUUUUUUUUUUUUAACAAAGUGGGCAUUCCCUAUAAGAAACUCUGAGCAUGGCUGCAAAUCCCAGCAAGGGCUUCUGCACAUGAGAACUCCUCCUCCUCUGCCUCCCUGGUCCAGCCUGGCCUCUUACUCGAAUAAUGUGGUGUGGUGGGUAAUGUGUGGAACUAGGAUGGGAAACCCCAGCUUUAAAUUCUCACUUGGCUAUGAAGCCCACUGGAAAACCUUGGACCUGUCACUAUCUCUUAGGCUGGGUUCAGACCAACACGAUAACUCAUACCUUUAAGUAUGAGCUAUUGAGUUAUCUAAACACCGUGGUGCUAACAAACCAUGUUUUUUUGUUGGGUUAUGAACUGCAGGUCUCUGGUCAACAAACCAUGGUUUGUGAGCCUGGCUGUAUUCAAAUAACAACCCAUGUUUGAACAAUAGCCCACUCACAACAUUUGAGUGUGAAUUGGGUUAUCUGAAGCUAGUCACUCUUGAACUACCUCCCAGGAUUAUGUGUAGAUAUAAUGAUAUAUUGGGGUGAACUAUGUCUACUGCCUUAUGUUGGGUGAAGGGUGAGAUGUAAACUGAUAUGAAACCUAAUUUGGUGUUCUGUUAACCUUUCCAAGAUCCUUCAUACCUAUCUAUAAAUUAAAUGCUUCCUAAUUGAAUAAAUGAUGUAAUAACAUGAUGAUAGUUACAUUUGAUAGUAUUUUUAAAUUAUUUCUUUUUUGGUUAGAAAAGGCUACUUGAAAAGAUACAGCCACAUCCCAAUAAGCCUUAAUUAUAUUGUGGCAGUCCUUGAUUCCUUAAUUAAAUGAUAUAUAAAGUGUAUUUUAAAAGACCAGAUAAAAAUAGAGUGUGGAGUAACCAUUAAGCUUUUAAAUCUCUAAUCCAAUAAAUUAUGCUAGCUUCA